AGCGUACACGGUGGAUGCCCUGGCAGUCAGAGGCGAUGAAGGACGUGCUAAUCUGCGAUAAGCGUCGGUAAGGUGAUAUGAACCGUUAUAACCGGCGAUUUCCGAAUGGGGAAACCCAGUGUGAUUCGUCACACUAUCAUUAACUGAAUCCAUAGGUUAAUGAGGCGAACCGGGGGAACUGAAACAUCUAAGUACCCCGAGGAAAAGAAAUCAACCGAGAUUCCCCCAGUAGCGGCGAGCGAACGGGGAGCAGCCCAGAGCCUGAAUCAGUGUGUGUGUUAGUGGAAGCGUCUGGAAAGGCGCGCGAUACAGGGUGACAGCCCCGUACACAAAAAUGCACAUGCUGUGAGCUCGAUGAGUAGGGCGGGACACGUGGUAUCCUGUCUGAAUAUGGGGGGACCAUCCUCCAAGGCUAAAUACUCCUGACUGACCGAUAGUGAACCAGUACCGUGAGGGAAAGGCGAAAAGAACCCCGGCGAGGGGAGUGAAAAAGAACCUGAAACCGUGUACGUACAAGCAGUGGGAGCCUCUUUAUGGGGUGACUGCGUACCUUUUGUAUAAUGGGUCAGCGACUUAUAUUCUGUAGCAAGGUUAACCGAAUAGGGGAGCCGAAGGGAAACCGAGUCUUAACUGGGCGUUAAGUUGCAGGGUAUAGACCCGAAACCCGGUGAUCUAGCCAUGGGCAGGUUGAAGGUUGGGUAACACUAACUGGAGGACCGAACCGACUAAUGUUGAAAAAUUAGCGGAUGACUUGUGGCUGGGGGUGAAAGGCCAAUCAAACCGGGAGAUAGCUGGUUCUCCCCGAAAGCUAUUUAGGUAGCGCCUCGUGAAUUCAUCUCCGGGGGUAGAGCACUGUUUCGGCAAGGGGGUCAUCCCGACUUACCAACCCGAUGCAAACUGCGAAUACCGGAGAAUGUUAUCACGGGAGACACACGGCGGGUGCUAACGUCCGUCGUGAAGAGGGAAACAACCCAGACCGCCAGCUAAGGUCCCAAAGUCAUGGUUAAGUGGGAAACGAUGUGGGAAGGCCCAGACAGCCAGGAUGUUGGCUUAGAAGCAGCCAUCAUUUAAAGAAAGCGUAAUAGCUCACUGGUCGAGUCGGCCUGCGCGGAAGAUGUAACGGGGCUAAACCAUGCACCGAAGCUGCGGCAGCGACGCUUAUGCGUUGUUGGGUAGGGGAGCGUUCUGUAAGCCUGCGAAGGUGUACUGUGAGGUAUGCUGGAGGUAUCAGAAGUGCGAAUGCUGACAUAAGUAACGAUAAAGCGGGUGAAAAGCCCGCUCGCCGGAAGACCAAGGGUUCCUGUCCAACGUUAAUCGGGGCAGGGUGAGUCGACCCCUAAGGCGAGGCCGAAAGGCGUAGUCGAUGGGAAACAGGUUAAUAUUCCUGUACUUGGUGUUACUGCGAAGGGGGGACGGAGAAGGCUAUGUUGGCCGGGCGACGGUUGUCCCGGUUUAAGCGUGUAGGCUGGUUUUCCAGGCAAAUCCGGAAAAUCAAGGCUGAGGCGUGAUGACGAGGCACUACGGUGCUGAAGCAACAAAUGCCCUGCUUCCAGGAAAAGCCUCUAAGCAUCAGGUAACAUCAAAUCGUACCCCAAACCGACACAGGUGGUCAGGUAGAGAAUACCAAGGCGCUUGAGAGAACUCGGGUGAAGGAACUAGGCAAAAUGGUGCCGUAACUUCGGGAGAAGGCACGCUGAUAUGUAGGUGAAGCGACUUGCUCGUGGAGCUGAAAUCAGUCGAAGAUACCAGCUGGCUGCAACUGUUUAUUAAAAACACAGCACUGUGCAAACACGAAAGUGGACGUAUACGGUGUGACGCCUGCCCGGUGCCGGAAGGUUAAUUGAUGGGGUUAGCGGUAACGCGAAGCUCUUGAUCGAAGCCCCGGUAAACGGCGGCCGUAACUAUAACGGUCCUAAGGUAGCGAAAUUCCUUGUCGGGUAAGUUCCGACCUGCACGAAUGGCGUAAUGAUGGCCAGGCUGUCUCCACCCGAGACUCAGUGAAAUUGAACUCGCUGUGAAGAUGCAGUGUACCCGCGGCAAGACGGAAAGACCCCGUGAACCUUUACUAUAGCUUGACACUGAACAUUGAGCCUUGAUGUGUAGGAUAGGUGGGAGGCUUUGAAGUGUGGACGCCAGUCUGCAUGGAGCCGACCUUGAAAUACCACCCUUUAAUGUUUGAUGUUCUAACGUUGGCCCCUAAUCGGGGUUGCGGACAGUGUCUGGUGGGUAGUUUGACUGGGGCGGUCUCCUCCUAAAGAGUAACGGAGGAGCACGAAGGUUGGCUAAUCCUGGUCGGACAUCAGGAGGUUAGUGCAAUGGCAUAAGCCAGCUUGACUGCGAGCGUGACGGCGCGAGCAGGUGCGAAAGCAGGUCAUAGUGAUCCGGUGGUUCUGAAUGGAAGGGCCAUCGCUCAACGGAUAAAAGGUACUCCGGGGAUAACAGGCUGAUACCGCCCAAGAGUUCAUAUCGACGGCGGUGUUUGGCACCUCGAUGUCGGCUCAUCACAUCCUGGGGCUGAAGUAGGUCCCAAGGGUAUGGCUGUUCGCCAUUUAAAGUGGUACGCGAGCUGGGUUUAGAACGUCGUGAGACAGUUCGGUCCCUAUCUGCCGUGGGCGCUGGAGAACUGAGGGGGGCUGCUCCUAGUACGAGAGGACCGGAGUGGACGCAUCACUGGUGUUCGGGUUGUCAUGCCAAUGGCACUGCCCGGUAGCUAAAUGCGGAAGAGAUAAGUGCUGAAAGCAUCUAAGCACGAAACUUGCCCCGAGAUGAGUUCUCCCUGACUCCUUGA
rnacentral:rRNA from 1 species